UUGCAUUGAUAAAAGUGGAUAAAUAACCUGUUGUAUUGGCAAUAAAUAAAAAGCUCUGCUGCUUUAUUUCAGAACAAGGAUUCUUGUGCUGUAAUCUCUUACAAACAUUUCAGGAAAGAAAGCAUACAUGCAUAACAUAUGAAUUGAAAUUCUUAUAAAACUAUAAAACACUUAACAAAUCUGAGAUAUAAAGCAGUUUUUAGAAUUCCUUUGAGCAGAAGUCGCUACAAGCAAGUAAAAAAAAACAUUCUCAAAGUGUUACAUAGCACCACGUGAAGCAACAGCUUUUAUUUUGAUUCUGGUUUUCAACAAAAACAUUAACAAUUGCUCGUUACCACCUAACAAAGUGUUAGCAAACUAGUUCAGCCUACACUGCUUUUGUGGCCAUUUAAAGGUGCAGUAACUCAAAAUGCUGACGCAAUAUGAAGCAUCAAGACUGCAGAUGUUGUUACCCCUGGAGGAUGAAACAAAAUAUAA
rnacentral:lncRNA from 1 species